rnacentral:lncRNA from 7 species
UUUUAGUAGAAUUUACAAGCCAUUACCCAUCACAUCUAGAACAUUACUGGAGCUGUCGAGAUAAAGGAAUCAGCGUAGAAACAUUGUUCCACUGGGAAAUGUAAAAUGGCAUAAAGUUGGUCCCUCAACAAAGAGGUGCUCCAGCCCUCUGAUCGUCUUUGUGACCCUCCUCUGGAUCCAUUCCAAUAGCUUCAACAGCUUCCAUAGAAGGGGUGCGAACAGUGGACUGUUGAUUAUCUACUCAGUCACUGGCUGUCUCCUUGGCUCUACCAUGGACCUUCCUGACUGUCUCUAUCACCCAGAAUUUGGAACAGUUCCAGGACGGUAUUCUCCAAGGACAAUAGCUUAGAGGCUGUGUAAGCAAGCCUCCUCGCUCCUUCCUCCUUUCCUCAUAAACAGUCUUCCAAAAAACCCAGAGCUGGGUCCUAUAUAGCGUGCAUGGGGUUAAUCUUCUCUAGAAGGAGUGAAGCCUAAGCAGAGUUCACAUAGCCCAGUCUGUGCGAUAUGGACUAAAGACCAAGGUUUGGUGCCUGGCUUGUUUAUUGUACAUGCUAAAUAGUACAUUUAUAGUACAUAUGUUAGUUCACGGCACUGUGGUACGUGCUAAAGCUAAAUCUUAGUCCUCAGUUUGAAUCUUAAUUUCAUUACUGUUCAUGAACAAUCUUGAGUAGUGUUUCAUGUAGCCACUAAGCCUAUGGGCUUUUUAGGAUCAUUGUAAGGAGGUGAGAUCUUGUAUCACAUUUAUCUAUACUGUAAAAUGUACUUGAACAGGACUGCUUCAGGUAAUCUCUUUCAGAAACGAAAGUUGUGCUGAACUGUGUUACAAAGGCUCCCUGUCAAGUGUAUUUACCCGCAGCAGUCGUUCCCAGUCUUGCUGCUGGUCAAAUAUCUGCUGAAACAUCGAGAAACCAAGGACUCUGAGGCUUUAAUCCAAUGGCUAGUAUGUCGCUCAAAAUCAUCAGCAUCCUCUCUAUAACAUCCCUAAGUUAUCAGAAGGCCUUGAGAGUAAAUACUUCAGUGGCAGAUAACAAAUGCUAUCUGAAUAGCUUUCCUUCCUUCUCCUUUUCUUCACUGUGACCAGACUGGUGACCACCAACCUGCUGAUUUCAGUGUGCAAGUUGUUAACAUAGCAAUUAGCUGAAGAGCUUGGAGCAGGGCAGGAACUUGCCUAACAGCAUGGGUGAGGCACUUGUGGCUUUUGCUAAUCAUGUAAGUGGAUUUACUAUGUGCCUAGUUUUCUCAGGUCUUAGGUAACCUGAUUUGUAAGUGCAGUUUUAGAUGAGUUGAGGGGAAAUACGUAGUUUCAUCCAAGUUGAGUGUCUAUUCUACAAUGAGAUUAUUGUAUGUUGUAGUUCAUUGAAUGAUAGAUGAAAUCUGCACUGACUAGAAAGGAAACCUCUGUCUACCUCAGAGGUAUACAAUUCCACUGGAGCUACCUACUGCUAGCCAGAUGGCUCCUGUAUUAAAUGUCUGUCUAGCAAACUCAUUCAUUCUAAGCCCCAGCUUCUUAACUCAAGUCACAUGUGAAAGGUGAAUGUAACUUAAAUUGGGAAUUUAGGAUACCUCUCUUUACAUGUCUGUAAUAACACUGCCUAUAAAAGGAUGGCUGUUCCAUUUCAUUAUGGAGUUGAAUAUCUG